GCACAUUCUGGGUGGCCAGCCCUGGGAGUGGGGGACAGCAGGGGAGGACAAGGCCCUGGCCUGGAAGAGAAACCCCCGCUGGAGGACAGCUCACCAACCUGAAGCCUGAGGCCUGCUCCACCAACAAGUUUUACUGCAGCCCCAAAAUGAUUAUUACUUUUAAUUUGAAGUCAUUCUUAAUAUUUGAAAAGUAGAAGAUUUCCUACAAAAAUCCACAUUUCCAGUAUGUCUUGGAAGAUGGAAAGUUCUAGAAUACCAUCCCCAUAGGCCCAAGCAGCAAAAGCUAGUAGGAGCCCGGGAUGGCCUGCUGCUGUGAAUGGGACCUCUGUCGUUCUUUGCUCUCCUGGCCUGGAUUCUGUAGGCUCCAAAAUCUGUGAUACCACCUUUAGCAAAAUGGAUCUACUUUCAAACCAGCCACAGAUCUGACCGUUGCUCCCUGUAGCCACAGAGAGGACGCUCCACCGGGUUCCCUGUCCCAGCCUCUGUUCUCCCUCUGGCGGCCAACGUGAUGGCCAAACUCCUGAGCCAGUGCAUCCCUGUGUCCCUCUAUUCAAAACCCUUCAUUGGUCACCAUAACUGAAUUCUGAUCCCUCCUCAACCUCAUCCUCUGCAGCUUCCCCAGUCUCAGGUGAUGACAGCUCUAUUGUUCACUUGCUCGGGCCCAAGCCUUGGAGUUUCUCGUUCUCUCUCUCUCUCUCUCUCUCACACACACACACACACACACACACCCCACAUCCAAUCCUGCCUGCUCAGCCUUCACAGCAUAUCGGGAUGCCAGCCACUCUCCCACCUCUCACUGGAUGACUGCCACAGCUCUUUCUCCCUGGCUAUGACGUAGCCUCAACAGACUGGCAGCAGAGAGGCUGGUAACACUCAGGACUGAUCCUGGCACUCCCCUGCUCAAAACCCUCCAGCGGCUCCCAUUGUGUACUCAGAGAAAAGCACAGAGUGUUCUAAAAGCAGCCCCCACCUGCCGAGGCCCAGGUGGGCCGCAUCUGGAGCCAAACCUUCACCCCUCCCAUGGUGGGCCAGGUGACCUGUUCUCUGCCCCCCACCUUGAUUCUGGGCUUGUCCCUGUGUUUUGCUUUGGCCUGCAGAACGGCAAUUCGACAAGCCGCAAACAGAGAUGCAAAGGGGCUUAGGUACUGGGGGUUGCCAUCCACGCCUCUGGCGGUACCAGGAGCAGGACCCGCGUAGGCUGGCCCACUGGUCCCUGAGGGGGAGGAGGAAGAGUGGGUGCAGAAGAACCCCCCCAACCCCCGGCCAAGCCCAGCCUCCAGCAGGGCCCCACUGACCCACAGAGCACGGCAAGCCCAGCGAAGCCCAGACCACAGAAUCGCAGAUGCAAGAUGAUGAAAACAUUUACUGUUGUAUGCACGGGGUCUCGUGUUUUUAACUCAGCAAAAGGCUUUUAUCAUCUGUUGGCUCUCUUCCUGGCCAGAACGUAAACUUCACGAGGGCAGGAGUCUCAGGCUUAAUUCACGGCUUCAAAUGGUGCCUGUAGGCAGUAGCCAGGCCAGAGAUAUCUAUCCAAGAAAUGCCUUUUCUUUUUCCAGUCCGGGCCUUUUAGGACAGCUCCUGGCCUGCCCUGGCCUUCUGAGCCAUGAGUCAAUGCCAGCUUUGAGGCAACAGAAAAGAAUGAGAGAGGGUGGUUAGAAGUGGGAUGACGGGCUGGACAUAUGCAUCCAUCCUUCAAGACAGAUGCACAUGUCAUUGAACUUAAAAAGACAAGAUAAGAAAAGCAGCUCUGUGGGAACACGGAAACGCCCACCGGGCAUGGAGUCAGAACAGGGUCAGGUCCCAGCUGUCCUGACAUUGUCCCUCCGUGGGGCAGCCUGCCCUGGCCCAGGGACGCCCAGACACAUCUGGGCAGAAGCCAGAACCACCCAGCCCAGCUGUGCUAGGGUCCCCGAUGGGGCGCUGGUUCUUGCUAUUUCAUAUUAAAACCCCCUGAGGGUGAAGGAACGGGAUAUAAAAUUGGGUAUAAAAUGCUUGUAAUGAUCUACAUCAGUGAUUAUAGCCGUGUGAAAUAAGCAAAGAAACUGGGCAGUGGGGAAAAAAGCUGGAAGAGAAUUCUCCAAAAUGUGAACGGAGGGAGCUUUAGGGUAGCUGGAACAAAAUAAUAUUUCCUCCUCUUUCAA